rnacentral:lncRNA from 1 species
CUUCUCAAAUGCAUAGUAUUUCAUAAUCUAUAUUUUAUAUCUCUCCAUAUUGUCCAUAAUAUUUGCUAUUUGUUGUUAGAAUCCUGCUGAUGUUUUCAUCUGCUUACAGUGGUCUCCUAGGUAAAUUGUAAAUUUUCCCCAUUCUUUGUCGAAGUUUUGAUCUUCUUGGUUCCUGAGCUUUCCGGUCAGUUUUGCCAUUUCAACAUAGUCCACCAGCUUAGUUUGCCAUUCCUCUCUGACAGGGACUUUGUCUCCUUUCCAUCUCUGGGCUCAUAGCAUCCGUGCAGCUGUCGUCGCAUACAUAAAAAGUCUUUUCUGCUCCCUUGGGAUAUCUGCACCUACAAUUCCUAAUAGAAAGGCCUCCGGGGUUUUCUUAAAAUAAAAGUUAAUUUAAACAUUCCCCCCCAAUUCAUUAUACAGUGGUACCUCGGUUUAAGAACAGUCCGGUUUAAGAACGAUUUGGUUUACAAACUCCGCUAAACUGGAAAUAGUGUCUUGGUUUGAGAACUUUACCUCGGUCUAAGAACGGAAGCCGAACAUUGGAAGGGCACCGGUGGCGGGAGGCCCCAUUAGGGAAAGCACGCCUCGGUUUAAGAAUGGUUUUGGUUUAAGAAUGGACUUCCGGAACGGAUUAAGUUAAUAAAUCAAGGUACCACUGUAUAUCAUUUCCCAGAAUGCUUUUACUACCUUACAAGACCACCACAUAUGAUAAAAGAGUCCUUCUUUUUUCUUUACAUUUCCAGCAGUGCAAUGGACUUCCACUUACUGGAAUCUGUGCUGGUGCAAAAUGAUUCUGAUGAAGGGCCUGGCCUGCUCAUGAUGUCAUGCACAGUGAUGUCACUUAAUAUGUGCAUAGGGUAAUAAAGGCCCUAGCAGGGUCAAGACUUAACAGUGGGGAUCACGCACCCCUUGCAUGACCCUGCAGGCAACAAGGAGUUCCUUAAGCCUGCUGUUCAAUGCUUCAGGUAUGCUUCUGGGCAUGCUUAACAACAACAACAACAACAACAACAAGAACAAGAACUUAUUUAUACCCUGCUCAUCUGGCUGGGUUUCCCCAGCCACUCUGGGCGGCUUCCAAC